AGCAAUAAAGUCCUCGUAGCUCUCACCAUCUUCCACCCUCGGCAAAAUGUCUUCUUAAUUUAUAUAUCUUCUCAGUGUAAAUAUACAAAUUUGAUUUGAUAACUGUACUAAUAGAAAGGAGAGACAAUGAUUUGAUAGUGUCAGAUACUCAAUGGGAUCAGCCUUGAUCUAACGUUUAAGAUGUCCCAAGCUGAUGUCAAUUACAGGCGUCUUUUAGGCGGGCGGCUAACUAGGCGCCCUCGGCGCUCAACUCGGCCGAGUCAGCACCCAACUCGGCCAACUCGGCGCCCAACUCGGCCAACCCUAAUUUGAUAAAACCCCCCAAAAAAGAAGAAGAAGUCCAAAGCAUCGAGCAUCACCCUCUCCACAACCGCAAAGCCUUAGCGUCGUCGUCGUCCAGCCAUCUAAUCCUCGCCGUCACAACAGCCACAGGCCUCCUCAGCUUCAUCGUCUGCUUGUCGUCAUAGUCGCUACACGGUGCCUCAUCAUUGUUUGUCACCGCUGGCCUCGCCUACAACUCGUCAGUUGCUCCUCUUAUAAAAUGCCUUGGCUGAAUGCAGUUCUAGAACACUGUCUUCUACUUUUGAUUUAUAUUUAUUGUCUUUGCCUCUCUGGAACACUGCCUUCUAUUUUUUUUUUAAUUACUAGUGCGCUUAGGUGCUAGGCGCCCCCAAGCGCCUGACUAGUCCCUUUUGCAACAUUGUCUAUUGUGUAUACUCUAUAGAAACUUUGUUUUGAGCCCAUUCUUAGGAAGCUUCAAUAUAUGUUACAAAGAGAUGGCAACGAAAUGGCUUCUUAUAGGAAUGUGUUAAUGUUGUAUUUAUUUUUUCCUUUUAAAUGGGUCGAGUUUGGAUUUGAAUAUUGGGUGAAUUAUUUAAUAUUCAGUUUGGAUAUAUAUAUCUGUGGGUAGUGCAUUAAGCUGUACUUUAAUUGUAUACACAAUGUUGGUAUUCAAGAUAUUCCGGUUAAGCUGUGGCUCUUGCGGAUAUCAUCUCAACUUAGUAUCUUCUAACCGUGUAACUACUGGAAUUGGUUCUGAGUAUAGUAAAAAGAUUAAGAAAGGUUUUAUCCCCU